rnacentral:rRNA from 1 species
CAGGUAGGACUACCCGCUGAACUUAAGCAUAUCAAUAAGCGGANGAAAAGAAACUAACAAGGAUUCCCCUAGUAACUGCGAGUGAACCGGGAAAAGCUCAANUUUGAAUCUGGCGGUCCUUGAGGCCGUCCGAAUUGUAUCUANAGAANUGUUUUCCGCGCUGGACCGUGUAUAAGUUU